rnacentral:lncRNA from 1 species
AUAUAGCACAAUUUUGACUCCGGAUGAUUCCUUCAUACCCGGUAUCGCUCUCAGCCUCUGUUCCUUAGCUUUGUGGCAGUUUGAUAUUCCGAAAAGUGACAGAAAGUACAUAGAUAAACUGGGAACGCUAGUAACAUUUACGGCUAUUGUAAGUCUGAUGUUCGCCACGGUGUCGAUUUAUAGGCUGAACUAUAUACUCACCUUUACCAUCGUAAUGGUAACGCUUCAUCAAAUAUUAGCUCCGAAAUUAGAUGAUGAUGCAGCGGCUGAAGACAAUGCGGGGGAUGAUGAUGACAGCAGAGUCAAAUACAAUGACUUCAAGUCCAAAAUGGAGUAAAGUUACCGAAUUUGAUCAAAAUUCGAGGCCUUGAGAUCCGAUGGGUUAGACGGAACUGAAGCAGAACUCGCUUUUUUUUCAUUGUGUUCAUUUUUUCAGAUCUUGAAUCACAGUAUGACAUGACGAUAAAUUAUUUUGCAGUAGCUCUGGCAAUGAUAGUUCAAAUUGAAACGAAGACACACAUAAUACUCCUUAAAUGUUUAGUAACUCAGCAUUAUUAUACUUGCUCUUGAAUGACUCGCCAAACGAAUAAGCCUCACCAAUAAUACGAAAAAUGUAUUUUCCACUUACAUUAUUUUCAUGUGUACAUCAUUCAAUACAUUAUGACAUGUAUUUUUUUUUCAUUAUGUGACAAAGGAAUGAAUUAGUGACUGUGAAUUAUUAGAAUAAUAGUUUAGAAAUGCUCUGAAAAAGUAUAUAGAGAUGCCUAAUUAUUUUCAAAUAUUCAAUAACGGCAUUGUAUACUUUAGUGAUAUCAUAGAAAUAAAUUAUUACUGUUACUUAUGUAACAA